rnacentral:pre_miRNA from 1 species
GAUUUUCGAGUUGGUGAUCAUAAGUACAUAACAAUCUAGUCCCCCUAUUAGGUCUAAGGAGGGUCAUAAAGUGGCGUUCUUUAGAGCCAUCACUUCGUAUUUAUACAGCUUGUUGAAUACGCAGCGACCACCGAAACAUGACAUUAACUUUGCCACGUGUACAGGUGGAUCAAGCCUAUCUACAUUUGACCAUUUGUGCUCCUCGGUUAUUUGAAUCAUCAAAACAAGGGAAAGAAAAACUUCUUUAAAAUAGGGGGUUUUAGAAACCCUAAACUUAUAAAUUUAACUUUUCUACAAGUAGGCUCGAUUGAGGCUUUCUUCAAGGUAAAUCUUGUUAACUUCCUCGUCUCAGGUUUUAGCUUUGUUAUGUACUUAUGAUAACUAACCCAGAAACUA